AAUGAACGCUGGCGGCAUGCCUAACACAUGCAAGUCGAACGAGACCUCCGGGACUAGUGGCGUACGAUUUUGUAACGCGUCGGAACCGGCCCUUAGGGACGGAAUAACUCAGAGAAAGUUGAGCCAAUACCGGAUGAUGUCUACGAACCAAAGAUUUAUUGCCCUUGGAUGGGCACGCGUUGGAUUAGCUCGUUGGUAGGGUUAAGGCCUACCAAGGCGUCGAUUCAUAGCUGGUCUGAGAGAAUGAUCAGCAACACUUGGACUGAGACACGGCCCAGACUCCUACGCAAUGCAGCAGUGGGGAAUAUUGGAAAAUGGGCGAAGGGCUGAUCCAGCAAUGCCGCGUAAGUGAUGAAGGCCUUAGGGUUGUUAAGCUCAAUUACCCGAGAUGAUAAUGACGGUAUCGGGAGAAUAAGCUCCGGCUAACUACGUG
rnacentral:rRNA from 1 species